GAUGAACGCUGGCGGCGUGCCUAAUACAUGCAAGUCGAGCGAACGGACGAGAAGCUUGCUUCUCUGAUGUUAGCGGCGGACGGGUGAGUAACACGUGGAUAACCUACCUAUAAGACUGGGAUAACUUCGGGAAACCGGAGCUAAUACCGGAUAAUAUUUUGAACCGCAUGGUUCAAAAGUGAAAGACGGUCUUGCUGUCACUUAUAGAUGGUUCCGCGCUGCAUUAGCUAGUUGGUAAGGUAACGGCUUACCAAGGCAACGAUGCAUAGCCGACCUGAGAGGGUGAUCGGCCGCACUGGAACUGGAACACGGUCCAGACUCCUACGGGAGGCAGCAGUAGGGAAUCUUCCGCAAUGGGCGGAAGCCUUGCGGAGCAACGCCGCGUGAGUGAUGAAGGUCUUCGGAUCGUAAAACUCUGUUAUUAGGAAAGAACAUAUGUGUAAGUAGCUGUGCACAUCUUGACGGUACCUAGUCAGAAAGCCACGGCUAACUACGUG
rnacentral:rRNA from 1 species